AUCCCUCUGCAACCUUUCUGUUGGCCCCUAGCAGACCACAAGCCUCUUGAGGGCAGGGGUUUGUGUCCUACCUGUAUCCAGCAUGCCUAGCAACCAGGGUGCUUAAUGUUUAUCGUUUUUGGGGCCCAUCUCCUUGCCUCCUCCAUCUGAGUCCCUGAGUCUCUAAGGCUCGCCUUCUUGCCUUGGCCCUGGAAUUAUCACAGCUCAGGCUGGCCUCAGAGUGACCUGACGCUGUGCUCAGGGUUUCCUAGUCUCUGAAGCAAAGCCUCAGGCCCUGGUCCUUUGCUGCCCCCACAGGCCCAGCGCCUGUCUGUCACCAUCCUAUUGGGAGGCACCAAGGCGCCCUGUGACCGGAUGCUGGGUUCCCGAGCUCCGAGUGGGAACUUUAGAGAGCAUCAUCUCCUCGCUGAUGCCUACAAGAUAUGAGAGUGGUACCUACCUCGUGUGAUGUCUGCGGAUUCCCAGAGACACUGCAUGUAAAGUGAAGAGCCCGGGAUAAGGUGGUGGCAGCUGCAGGGAAAGUGACCCUCUCCACCCUACCGGGCCCACCUUCCCCAGGGUGACUCCAAGGCCCAGGCUGAAAGGAUGAGCCGUACCUAGUGCCCUGCUGACUUGCUCAAGGUCCCGUGUCUGAGAGGCCUGGGAGACCUGAGUGUGACCAUUUGGCUUUCCCUGCGCUCUACACUCUGCCACUGGGACGCACAGUCACAUGUUCGGUGUGCCUGUGUGUAUGUGCAGGAGUGUGUGUCCAGCAGGCCCACAUGCACGUGUGCGCGCCUGUGCUCCUGUUCGCGACCCACCUCCUCCCCCCCGCCCAUCCCUGCCUGUCAGCGGCGCUGAUGACAUUGGCUCAGAGGAAAGUGAUGACAAAUGCCCGUUAUCAG
ensembl:lncRNA